rnacentral:RNase_P_RNA from 2 species
UCGGCAAGCCAGGCGAUUACUGCCGCGUUAAACGCGGUGGAGGAAAGUCCGGACACCCUCCCGCUUUUAGCGGGAUAAAAAGGUAGCGGCUAACGGCCGUCGGGAGCAAUCCUAGAGGUGCGAGCAGAGACGUUCCGACUCGAAAGAGUCGGGGAAGCCCGAUCCCAACGUAGCAGGCUUAAUUCCGCCAUAGGGAUAAGAAAGCGGAAGUGAAACGGCUAAAUCCUUACCGGGUGCAAGGUUGUGCCCCGACCUCGGUCGGGGAAUACCGCAAGACUCUGAGAGUAAUCAAAGAGCUAGAUAAAUUAUCGCCAAAUACAAAAUCCGGCUUAUGGCUUGCCGGUUUU